rnacentral:misc_RNA from 1 species
GAUGAAGAACGUAGCGAAAUGCGAUAAGUAAUGUGAAUUGCAGAAUUCAGUGAAUCAUCGAAUCUUUGAACGCACAUUGCGCCCGUCAGUAUUCUGGCGGGCAUGCCUGUUCGAGCGUCAUUACGCCCCUCAAGUCCCCUGUGGACUUGGUGUUGGGGAUCGGCGAGGCUGGUUUUCCAGCACAGCCGUCCCUUAAAUUAAUUGGCGGUCUCGCCGUGGCCCUCCUCUGCGCAGUAGUAAAACACUCGCAACAGGAGCCCGGCGCGGUCCACUGCCGUAAAACCCCCCUACUUUUUAUAGUUGACCUCGAAUCAGGUAGGACUACCCGCUGAACAUAAGCAUAUCAAUAAGCGGAGGA